UACAGAGGGUGCGAGCGUUAAUCGGAAUUACUGGGCGUAAAGCGUGCGUAGACGGUUAUUUAAGUCAGAUGUGAAAGCCCCGGGCUCAACCUGGGAAUUGCAUUUGAGACUGAAUAGCUAGGGUGCGGUAGAGGGAAGCGGAAUUUCCGGUGUAGCGGUGAAAUGCGUAGAGAUCGGAAAGAACACCAACGGCGAAAGCACUCUGCUGGGCCGACACUGACACUGAGAGACGAAAGCUAGGGGAGCGAAUGGG
rnacentral:rRNA from 1 species